AAAACUUUUAAUAAUAGAUCUCUUAGUUCUAGUAUCGAUGAAGAAUAUAGCGAAAUAUAAUAAGUAAUAUAAAUUAUAAAAUUUAAUAAAUUAUUAAAUUUUUAAACGUAUAUUAUGUUUAUUAAUAUUUUAAUAAAUAUAUUUAUUCGAGCGUUAUUUUAAUUAUUAAAUUCUAUUUACAUUGGGGAUUUGCGGUUGUCUACGGUCCCUUAAAAUUAAUAGUGGGCUUACUAGUUAUAUUAAGUAUAGUAAUUCUAUAUUACUAUAGUUAUACGGCGGGUUCUUACUAUAAAACCCCCUAUUUCUAAAGUUAAUUUCGGAUUAGGUAGGAAUACCUAUUAAAUUUAAAUAUAUUAAUAAAUAGAGGAAAAGAAAUUAAUAGGGAUUGCCCUAGUAAUAGUGAGUAAAGCGGUAAUAGUUUAAAUUUAAAAUUUAAUUUCGGCCCGAAUUAUAAUUUAUAAAGGAAGCUUUUAGUGAAGUACCUUCUAAAUCCUUUAGAACGGGGCACUAUAGAGGGUAAAAGCCCUAUAUAAUUAGAUAUUAAUUUAAUAUAAAGUUCCUUUAACGAAUCGAAUAAUUUAGGAAUACUAUUUAAAAUAGGAGGUAAAUUUCUUCUAAAGCUAAAUACCGGCUAGAAACUAAUAAUAUAUAAGUAAAAUAAUCGAAAGAUGAAAAGCACUUUAAAAAGAGGGUUAAAUAGUAUAUAAAAUUAUUAAAAGGGAAGCGUUUGUAAUUAAACUUACGCCGUUCCAAUUAUUCGGUAUUCUUACCAAUAUACUUAGGACGGUUUAAAUUAAUAUCGGUUUUAGUAGGGGGAUAAAGGUCCGGGGAAUAUAAUUCCUCCGGGAGUAUUAUAACCCCAAGCGUAAUGCCCUUACUAAGAUUAAAGUUUAUAUAUUUAUAAGGAUACUAAUAUAAUAGUUAUUAAUAACUUGUUUUAAAAUACGGACUAAGGAAUUAAGGUUUUACGUAAGUAUUUAGGUAUAAAACCCGUACGUAUAAUGAAAGUGAAUAUAAGUGAGAGCUUCGGUGUAUUAUCAAUUAAUUUUAAUAUAUUUGGAUAGAUUUAAAUAAGAGUAUUAAACUUUAAACCCGAAAAAUAGUAAAUUAUACUUAAAUAGGGUAAAGCUAGAGGAAAUUCUAGUAAAGGUUUGUAGUAGUUUUAAUAUAUAAAUCGAUUAUUAAAUUUAAGUAUAGGGGCGAAAGAUUAAUUAAAUUAUUUAAUAAUUAAUUACUACUGAAGUUUCUUUUAGAAUAGUAGUAUUGUUCUUUAAUUUUAUAAGGUAAAGUAAAUAAUUAGGAACUUGGGGGUACUUUUUAACCUUCAUCUAUUCUUAAACUUUAAAUAUAUAAGAAGCCCUUAUUAUUUAAUUAAAUAUAAGUAUUCGAAUAUACUAAUAUUAGUAGGCUAUUUUUAGUAAGUAGAAUUAGCGAUGUAGGAUAAACCGAAUACGGAAUUAAAGUACCGGAAUAAAUGCUUAUUAAAUAUUAUAAAAGGUAUUAAUAUAUUUUAAUAGUAGGACGGUAGCUAUAAAAGUUAAAAUCUACUAAAAAUUAUAUAAUAACUUACUUACCGAAUAUACUAGCUUUAAAAAUAAAUAAUACUUAAACGUCCUACCUAUACCCCGCCUUUAGGGUAGAAAUAAUACCUUAAGGAGUAAACGGUCGUAGAAGUUAGUAAUGAAGCUUAGGGUGUAAACCCGGGUCGAACGGCCUUUAGUAUAAAUUUUAGUAAUAGUAGUAAAUAUUUUAAUAAGAAUUUAAAGGACUAAAGUAGGGAAAAGUUCUAUAUAAAUAGCGGUUGGAUAUAAGUUAGUCGAUUCUAAACUAUAGGGAAAUUCUAUUUUAAAGGGGUACUUAUACCCUAUAUAGCGAAAGGGAAGCCGGUUAAUAUUCCGGCACUUAGAUAUAGGUUUUACGUAGCAAUGUAAUUAAAUACGGAAAUAAUAGUAGGGGCCCCAGGUAGAGUUCUUUUUUCUUUUUAAUAAUUUAUUACUUUAAAAAUAGUUUAUUUGGAGAUAGGGUUUAAUAAUUAGAAGAGUCUAAUAUUUUUAUUAGAUCCGGUGCACUUUCGAUAUCCUUUAAAAAUCCGCGGAAGGGAAUAAUUCUUACACUAAGUUAUACUUAUAAUUAUAGUAGGUUUCUAAAGUGAAUAGCCUUUAAUUAAUAGAAUAAUAUAAAUAAAGGAAGUUAGUAAAAUAGAUUUGUAACUUCGGGAAAAGGAUUAGCUUUAAGGGUUAAAUAUAUCGGACUUUAAGUAGACGCCCUAAGAAUAGAUUGCUAUUAGCCGGGUAAUUGGCCGGCGGUUUUCAAUAUCCGGGUAUAGAAGCCUUUAGUAGAUUUCAGUUAUCCGGCGUACAUUUAAUAAUUAAUUUAAAAUUAGUAUAGAUAGGGGGAAUUUGAUUAUUUAAUUAAAAUAUAGUAUUGCGAUAGUUAGAAAGUAGUGUUAAUGUAAUGUGAUUUCUGCCUAGUGCUUUAAAUAUUAAAAUAAAGAAAUUUAAUUAAGUAUGGGUAAAUAGCGGGAGUAAUUAUAAUUCUCUUAAGGUAGUUAAAUAUUUUGUUAUUUAAUUAGUAAUAUAUAUAAAUAAAUUAAUAAGAUUCCUAUUGUUCUUAUUUAUUAUUUAGUAAAAUUAUAGUUAAGGGAAUAAGCUUAGUAGAAUUAGCGGAGAAAGAAGACCCUAUUGAAUUUGAUUCUAGUUUAAUAUUGUAAAAAAAUAUAGGAGGUAUAGAAUAAGUGGGAGCUUCGGUGCUAGUAAAAUACUACUAUUCCUAUUAUUUUUUUAUUUAUUUAAUUAAAUAGGGUUAGAUUUUCGUUUAAUUUCUAGUUUUAAGGUCCUUCGCGGGCCGACCCGGGUUAAAGAUAUUAUUAGGUAAGGAGUUUGGUUAGGGUAAUAUAUUUAUUAAAUUAUAAUGUAAGUAUUCUAAAGGGGGUUUAUAGAGAAUAAAAAUCUCUAGUAGAAUAAAAGGGUAAAAGUCCUCUUGAUUUUAAUUUUUAGUAUAAAUAUAAACUAUAAAAGUAUAGUUUAUCGAUCCUUUAAUCCUUCGAAAUUUAAGGCUAAAGGUACUAGAAAAGUUAUUAUAGGGAUAAUUAACUUAUAGCAGCUAAAUAUUUAUAACAAUAUUACUUUUUAAUCCUUUAAUAUCGGUUCUUCCUAUUAUACCGAAAUAGAAUUCAAUAAACGUUAGAUUAUUUAUUUACUAAUAAGGAAUAUAAAUUGGGUUUAAAUUAUUAUAAGAUAGGUUAAUUUUACCCUAUUAAUAAUUUUAUUAUAAUAAUAAUUAAACUUAGUUCGAAAGGAACCGCUUAUUUAAAUAAUUGGUUUUUACGGUUGUCCAAUUGGGUAGUAUUACAAUGCUACUAUUUAUUAAAUAAUAAUUAAAUACUUCUAAAUUAGAAUCUAUAUUAGAAUACAAUAAUACUUUUAGUACGUUAUAGAUAUAUAAGAAUAGGCUCUAGCUUUGUAUUUUAAUAGGCAAUUCCUCCGUUAGCUUUAAAGUAGCUAGUAGUAAUUUGUAUAUUAUAAUUUUA
rnacentral:rRNA from 1 species